rnacentral:rRNA from 1 species
GNAGGGUGCAAGCGUUAANCGGAANNACNGGGCGNAAAGCGUGCGCAGGCGGUNUUGUAAGNCUGACGUGAAAUCCCCGGGCUUAACCUGGGAAUNGCGUUGGAGACUGCAAGGCUGGAGNCUGGCAGAGGGGGGUAGAAUNCCACGUGUAGCAGUGAAAUGCGUAGAGAUGUGGAGGAACACCGAUGGCGAAGGCAGCCCCCUGGGUCAAGACUGACGCUCAUGCACGAAAGCGUGGGGAGCAAACAGGAUUAGAUACCCUGGUAGUCCACGCCCUAAACGAUGUCAACUGGUUGUUGGGUCUUCACUGACUCAGUAACGAAGCUAACGCGUGAAGUUGACCGCCUGGGGAGU